CGUAGGGUGCGAGCGUUAAUCGGAAUUACUGGGCGUAAAGCGUGCGCAGGCGGUUUGUUAAGAUAGGCGUGAAAUCCCCGGGCUCAACCUGGGAACUGCGCUUAUGACUGGCAAGCUAGAGUACGGCAGAGGGGGGUGGAAUUCCACGUGUAGCAGUGAAAUGCGUAGAGAUGUGGAGGAACACCAAUGGCGAAGGCAGCCCCCUGGGUCGAUACUGACGCUCAUGCACGAAAGCGUGGGGAGCAAACAGGAUUAGAUACCCUGGUAGUCCACGCCCUAAACGAUGUCAACUAGUUGUUGGUAGGGUAAAACCUAUUAGUAACGUAGCUAACGCGUGAAGUUGACCGCCUGGGGAGUACGGCCGCAAGGUUA
rnacentral:rRNA from 1 species